UCCCUCAGCGGGGCUCAAGCGGGAGACAUUCGCCGCCAACAAUCCCUUUCUCCUCCAUGUCGUGGUUCAUGUUCUUGAGGGAGUCAAAGCCAAAGUUCCUUCCCUCCAAUUCAUUCUCAACCUUGACUGAGAUAACCCCCACUACGAGUCUCGUUGUAGAAAUACCAGAGACCAGAGUCCGACGUGUUAUGCGCCAUAACACCAAAAGCAGAACAGUUAUCCAAAUAACAAGGAAGUGUACAACACUUGCGUUAAAGUCCUGGAGCUCUAUAUCUAAAUAAUAUCAUAUAAUACAUAGAUAUCUAUAUCAUAUAAUACAUAUAAUCACGGCCAAAAGCUGUGUGCGCCUCCAGACGAUAUUAUGAAUCACAAACGAUUCAUAACUUUUUCGGGUUCUGCAACGUCUCUGGUUCUUCCACUUUCACAUCGAUCUGAAGUAGACUGAACCGCGCGCUGCCUGCUGCCGGCUGCCCGCUGCCGGGCGAUGGUGCCUCGCGGCAACCGGCGGCAUGUCGCAGUUCAUGUAUUUCAGCGAGUCAAAGCCAAAGUUCCUUUCCCCCAAUUCCUUCUCAACCAUGGCUCAGAUAACCCCCACUGUCUCGUUGUGGAAAUACAAGAGACGUCAAAGAACCGACAAACACUUGCGUUACAGUGUGUGUAUUCACACACACACAUGUGGCGCUCGCACGGUCGUGUCUCAUUGGCGGGCCAACGUCUCUGGGCGGGCCAGGCAGAGUAAGGGGAGGAGCUUAGAUGCUUUAUGACGACAUAAAUAAAGACAUUCCACAUCAGCGCGCUUGAGCCUCCGUUUUUUCAAAGGCGAGCAGAACAGCAAGUGCUCGUUUUACACCAAACGCAAGUUUUUGCCACUGGGGGACCAUAGGCAGGCUAGGGGAACUCAUAUUUAUGUUAGAAAACCUCAUAAAGUGAGAUUUUCAUGUUAUGGGACCUUUAAAAGGAGCAAGUAAGUUACAAAUUAAUUUAGUCUUUCGGCCUGUAGCAUAUAAACAAAAUGAAGCAACUGUCCCAUAUUUAUAACUGCAUUUGAAGUAGACAUUGAGACUCACAAAAAAUGGAUGCUAUAGGACGGUGAUCAUGAUUUGUAUCGAUAUCAGAAUAACAUCAAUGGGUCAAAUAGCAACAGCUGGUGGAAUGGCCAUAAAGUAGGUCUGUGUAUGCAGUGUAAGCUGGUCCAGGCCCUGCAAGUCAGGAUGUAGGCUAUGAAUCUGAAUGAAUAGUAGAUACAAAGGAAGUGGCCAUUCCCUUAAAUGCACCAGAAUACAGGAUAUUAAAUCUAUUAAAUUCCUUUUCUUUUAUGGGGGGGGGGGGAACCCCAGACCCCCUGUCUAUUACUGUGCCCCACCAACAUUUUUGAUCACCAGCCACCACUGCUGUUAACCCUAGCAGGGGCCGGAAUAGUCUGCUGGUUCCCAGAGUCAAAGAGGGGGUCCUUAUUUCACCUGCCCACCCUAACUCUAACCACCUUACCCUAACAAAACACCCUAACCAUUACACCCUAACCCCCUAACCCUAACCCCCUCACCCUUACCCUACGAUUACUACUGGAGAUAGAGACUGAAUUUAAAACCAUCUAUGCGUUGCUUGAGAUUUUGAAACAAACUUUUAUUUUAAGAUCAUUCUCUGCUCUAAUGUUUGAUUCUAUCCACCAGACCAGCUACAUCUUUAACCGCUGGCUCUCAACAGCUUGAAAAGCAUCUUGGAAGGCUUUACACUUCAUUCAUCAAUAAUGCAUUUCUGUCAGAUCGUGUUAGCUCUGCUUAGCCAGCGGCCUGCAAUGGACGCAUCUGAACUGGACUAGAUUUCUACUUCCACCAGUACUACUUAUUAUUUAGUAGUAACCCCAUAGUAGCACUGUUUACUAGUACUAUUUACUAGGUCCUCAGUACUGCUGGUAUCACUACUAGUUAUACUGUUUACUAGGACUAUUUAUUAAGUCAAAUAUUUAUAGUUUUCUUUUAUCACAGACAUAUAUGUUGGUAGAUGUUAUUUUCUUUACCUUGACAUGUUUCGACGGAUAUACUUCCAAGACAACAAAAGCAACUUCAUAUAUGAAAUACCAUGUCAAUCAUGCAAUAAAUCCUACAUUGGGUAGACGGGAAGGAGUUUUAUCAAAUGAGAAAAGGAGACAGCUCAGAGACAAACGAGCAAUAAAGAAAAAAAAGUAUCAAUAUUUUAUAUAUAUAAGUCUACAGGUAGAAGUCUACAGGUAGAGGUCUACAGGUAGAGGUCUACAGGUAGAGGUCUGGCGGUAGAGGUCUACAGGUAGAGGUUUACAAGGCUACAGGUCCACAGGUAGAGGUCUUGAGGUAGAUGUCCACCUGGAGGCCUACAGAGGUCUGCUCUGGCCGAGGACCUUCUGGUCUCACUCCCUGUCUUCCCCCCAGGGUCCAUGGACGAGGUGCUGGCCUCGCUGCAGAGGGGCCAGAUCCGGCUCCGCAGGGCUCCGGCCCCAGCAGGGGCCGCGGCGCCAGCAGGGGACCCCAGGGACGGCCUGAUGACAGCCAUUCGCCAGGGGGUCGCCCUGAAGAAGGUGGUUGCCGUGCGCUGCGACGUGCUUGACGACAGCCGGGGCUCGGAGCUGGAGCGCAGCAUCAAGGCGGCCAUGAGGAGGAUGAAGAAGGUUUCAGCCGACAGCGACGAGGACUCAGAUGAAGAUGAGAUCCACAACUCUGAGUGGGACAGCUGAGGACGCAUACAUGUGUGAAGAUAUACACAUAUUAUAUACAUAUAUAUAUGACUUUAGGCUUCCAGUCCUACCAAAUGCCAAGAGGUGACUCUAAACGUUUGUCUUUAGCGGCGGCCGUACCGUCGGAUGAACUGAAUGUUAAAGGCCUAUGGAGUCUCCUGUAGUUAUAAUAUUACAGUUUUGGUGUCUGGAUGCACAGCCAAUCUCCAGACUUGUGGUGGCCGCCCCAUGCAUUAUUAGCACUACUUUGACCAGUUUUAUUUUUAUUAUUUAAAUUUCAAUUGAUUAUUACUACCAUCCUAGCCUUAUAGUCCAGAUGAUGACUUUAUUAUUUUCCAAAGCAAUUUAUCAUGCAACUUCUGGGCUUUUUAACAGUGUUAUGCCAUAAGGAGGGAUAAUGAGGAAUUUAGAAUAAUUUGAAGAAUGCCUUGUUCAUUUAAACAUGUAUGGAGGUUUUCUUCAUAAAGUUGUAUUCCUAAUGCCAGGAAAAACUCCAAACUAGAUUUUGCCAUGUGGUUCCUAUCCUGAGACUAACAAUUAGUUUGAAAGGUCACAGACUCACCUUUUAGACCGAAUGGCAUUGUUGUCCUAAAACAAUAAUCUACUAAAGAAUAUAAGAUUUAAUUUCCCCCAGGGCAAUUUAACUUUCAGUCAGAAGAAACGUAUGAAUAGAACAUUCAUAAUCCCCUGAAGAUGAAGUAUUAGUAGAGUGCCAAAAAUGAUAGGUAAUUGUGUGUGUGUGUGUGUGUGUGUGUGUGUGUGUGUGUGUGUGUGUGUGUGUGUGUGUGUGUGUGUGUGUGUGUGUGUGUGUGUGUGUGUGUGUGUGUGUGUGUGUGUGUGUGUGUCAAUGCACUGUAUUUUUGUCUUAUGCUAUGCAUUUGUGCUCGUAUGCACGUAUAUUAUUACCAGUAUCACGAUUGUUUGUGUAAAAAUGAAAUCCCUGAAUACGUAAAUUAUAAACGCAACCAAACAACUUUUAGCACACUAUUAUGUGCAACCAAACAGCAGCUGUUCAUACUUAUAUUUUAUAGUCAGUCAGAAUAUAAAUUCUCAUUCUUGAGUGCAGUGGCGGUUUUAGCAAAUUGGGGCCCUGGGCGAAGAUAUGAAUGGGGCCCGAUAUGUCCUUUACCUGCCAAUGGUGGAUUGGCAGGUAAAGCUAACCUACGUGGAAGUAAAGGUUGGAGAUGAAAAAAAUACCUUCCCCUUUAAACCCUGCAUACACUUCUUUACUCCAAAAUGAAGAUGGGAAGCAGAGAACACACAAAGUGUAGCACUACAAUGGAACCCAAAAUGCCAGGAAAAUUAGUACCGUUUAUGCUUUUUUUUUUUUAUGCCAGCAAGACAAACAGUCAAAUACUUACCAAAACAUCACAAACAGCCAUAUACACAAAUUUUUUAUUUGAGCCGCUUGGUGAACUUUAUUUCCUAACCCUUUUCCUAACCCUUAAUUUUAUUUCCCCGUGUAGACUCGUCUUGCUUUGUCUCUGUUUGUGUAUUACAUAAUAUAUAUUUAUGAUAUUUUUUCUUCGAGGUUGGUUGGGGCUUGGGGCCCCCUGCUUGGUAAGACCGCCACUGCUUGAGUGCCAAAACAAAUGAACCUGCCUGUUAAAAACUGAUGUUUGGUCAUUUUUAGGGUGGGGGUAUCUCCCGGUACAUCAUAGUAGCACUGUUGGGGUGUACCUCCAGACUCUAGGUACUUCACUGUUUGGGGGAUAUCUCUAGACUCCAGUUACUUCACUGUUUGGGGGGUAUCCACUGGAACAUUCAAGUGACCUGGGCCUCUCCAGCAGAGCGGCCUGGAUACUGGGGUCUCGGAAUUUCAAGGCCCAAAAGCUUUUACGUUUGUUUUCAAGCUGCAGCUCAUCUGAUUGACCCUUCAGGUAAAAUACAAUGAAACAUGGAUGGCCCCUCACUGCUGUUGGUUUUGUAUUAGCUGGACUAAGUCAGCUAUAAAGUGCCUUGUUGAUCAUGCUGCUCAAGAUUAAACAGUUUGCAGCUAAAGAGCCAUUCCCUUUCGCCUUUACCUUUGUUUAAUGUUUCCACAUUUGAAUAGGCGAUGACUAAUGAACAUUGUCGAUUAAACGCUUUAGCAUUCAUUUGACUAACUGUCCCCCCCCCCCUCCCAAUGCACCCAGCAGCUCUCUGACAUUACCGUCAAAUAACCCUAACCUCACUCAGAUAGCUGAGUCCAUGUGGAUCCUUUUCUCUUAGAAACACUAUUCAACAACGCCGCUGGUGGUGUUCAUUUGGUGUUAGCGAUGAUGGCCACUUUGUUUUGGCUAAUGGCUUGUCCCCGCGGUGACGACACAGCAGAGAGGGUGGAGGAGAGGAGAGGGAGACUCGUAUCAGACGCAGGGUGAUCCCCGACCACGAGCCAUAACUGUCUGUGGGAGAUUCCGGGAGCCAGUGUUUCUAUGGCAACGGGAUAUCAGCGGCGCUGGCCCACACUGAGUAUCCUGGCUCUCUUUUAAUGAUGUUACACUAAACCGCCCACUCAACAGUCAUCAUGCACUCAUCUGAAACAAGGAGGAAGUGUGGGAAGGAGUCUUGAUGAACAGUUACACACCAGGUUUAUGGACCAGCCUUACCAGUCUUGAUAAAAUCUGUUUGAACUCUGUUUGACAAACAGAAUGAAAACUGUCCAUGACAAAGACAGCUAGGAGUAUCCCUGAGUGGCACUAGAUUUAUAUAUAAAUAGAUCUAUAUAUAGAUCUAUAUCUAUACAUUCCACCAGCCACGCAUCUCUGGCUAAAUGAGUGCGUGGGAUAGGUUACCAAGGCAACGUGUCCUCUGGUCCACCACUGCAUCCAUCUCCACGACCAUGGAGGGAGUGGAGCUCAGGCAUCCUCUGACUCGAUGUCUCUUGAUUCGGGAGGAAAGUAUUCCUGUUUGUCAAAAACCUGCAGUUUCCCGAUAAAUACUUUUUAAGAGCUAUCGUUAGGAUGGAUGUACAAUCCCACGUUUACCCAUGGAUUGGUAUUCAUGUCUUUAGAUAUAUAAUUGUGCUGCCCUUGAAUGCAGAUAGUCAGUCACAAAAUGUUGACAAAAAACUCUGCGCUCCAAAGGUAUACGAUGAGGAUGAGAUAUGCACUAUGGAUGAUUAAGCGAAGUACAUAGUCAUUAAACUAUAACUGGAAUAAAAUCAUUAUGAAUAGUAAGUGCAGUAUUUUACACCUUAUGACUUGUUCAAUUAAAUAGAUGUGUAAUAUCGAAACAUCCAUAUAUAUUGAAUACAGCCUAGUACUGUAGAGACCUCGGCCCUCACACACAAGUUGAAGUGAAAGAAAGACACAGACCCCAAUAGUAAUUAAACUAAAUUUUAAACAAUUGUCAUUUCUGUGGUACAAUGUUGAACUUGGCUCACGAAAGGAGGGCAGGAGAUGGGAAAAGGAGAUGAUCACGAGAAGUGUUCUGGCUUCUGCCAACCAAUCAGCAAGAGAUUUAAACGGGAUCCAAACGGAUUACACUUGCGGUAUAUUUCCCUUCUUUAUACUCAGACACCGUCCUGCAAUUAAGUUAUUCUAUUAUCAAAAAAAUAAAGAAGUUCAGAAGCCAUAGAUCUGGUAUGAAUACAUAUAUUAUACAUUGUAUUUGCACAGAAAUACAUUUUGGGUUAAGGUAGUGUUCGAGUUCAGGGUUGAUUCUAGAAAAACGACUUCUUAAUAGGCACCAAUAAAUAAAGUUGUAAAUCAAACGAGGAAGAAAAACAUAAUCCAGAAUUUUAGAUCGAAGGCCCCAGCCCUCUCUAUCCUUGCUAUGAAGUUCCUGUUCACAUUAUUAUCCCUGUAGCAGCACAGAUUCCCAGCACCACCCAAAGAAAGCUUGUAUGGGAAGCACAAAUAUCGUCAAACAUGCAAAACACAAAAAAGGUAUUUUGAUCACUUCACUGAAGGCAAAAGGGGUUCAUACAGUAUACUAGUAUUUUUUGGAUGAAGAACUCUGGAAAAAUAAGUCAAAUUUCCCUCUUAAUGCAAAUAAACGUGUCUUCAAGGAUGGCAGCAAACCUUUGGAAUCCUAUUGCUGUCUUGUGUGUAUAAGACGUCUGAGCCAGCGUUUGAUUCUGACUUCAAUGUCAAAGAGGCAUUGGUAAAUAAAUGUUCUGGCACCUUCUCCCUUUACCCUACAAUGAAAGUUAGGUUUAAAAAAAUCUUUGUGUGUUGAACAUGAUUUUCCUCCACAAAAACCAUCUGCUUGGUAGUGAUGUCACUAUGAUGUCAUUGUCAUGAUGUUAUCCCUCGGCCAGAGUGGGGGGUGGGAGGUUGAGGGAGAUGAGGGGGUGAGACGGUGGGAGGGUGGGAUGGCGCCGCCCGGAGGCACUUGAUUCGUGACCUUAAAUCGUGUGUGUGUGUGUGUGUGUGUGUGUGUGUGUGUGUGUGUGUGUGUGUGUGUGUGUGUGUGUGUGUGUGUGUGUGUGUGUGUGUC